AUUGAACGCUGGCGGCAUGCUUUACACAUGCAAGUCGAACGGUAACAGGGGAGCUUGCUCCUGCUGACGAGUGGCGAACGGGUGAGUAAUGCAUCGGAACGUGCCGAAUAGUGGGGGAUAACGCACCGAAAGGUGUGCUAAUACCGCAUACGCCCUGAGGGGGAAAGUGGGGGACCGCAAGGCCUCAUGCUAAUCGAGCGGCCGAUGUCGGAUUAGCUAGUUGGUGGGGUAAAGGCUCACCAAGGCGACGAUCCGUAGCGGGUCUGAGAGGAUGAUCCGCCACACUGGGACUGAGACACGGCCCAGACUCCUACGGGAGGCAGCAGUGGGGAAUUUUGGACAAUGGGGGAAACCCUGAUCCAGCCAUGCCGCGUGUCUGAAGAAGGCCUUCGGGUUGUAAAGGACUUUUGUCCGGGAGGAAACCCUGAUCGUUAAUAGCGGUCGGGACUGACAGUACCGGAAGAAUAAGCACCGGCUAACUACGUGCCAGCAGCCGCGGUAAUACGUAGGGUGCAAGCGUUAAUCGGAAUUACUGGGCGUAAAGCGUGCGCAGGCGGUGAGAUAAGUCAGCUGUGAAAGCCCCGGGCUCAACCUGGGAAC
rnacentral:rRNA from 1 species